CUGUCCCUUUUAUCAGGAAAGCACAGUUGCUUCCCAGAACUUCCUCCCCCAGCAGAAUUCCACUCAUGAACGAUUGUGUUUUACAUGACCACUCCCAACUGCAGAAGAGGCUGGGAAAACACUUUCCAAGCUCUGGAGUGGAAGUUGACUAGAAGAGAGGGAUUUGGUAAUGACUGUCGGGUCAGCCAACCAGCAGUGGCCAUCACAUACUUGCCAAGGUCAAGUGUUAGUCUUAUUUGACCCAACCAGCCUAUUUCACACAGGGGCUAACGCCCGUCAGCUGGGAGUUGCUGUUUCUCACAUCUUUGGCCUGGACUAGAGGUGGCCCCAGCCUGCUAAACCUCAUCUCUCACUGAACAUAACACCAUCUCAUACACGCUAACAUUUUUCAUCAGUAUUAGUGUCACCGCAAAGUGCCAUUAAAAUAGAAGUGGUUUCAUACAUUAUUUUAUCUGCAACGUGGCCACUGAGUCAUUCUUUGCUGGAGAGCUGUCUCCUCGGCAUUUAUAAGCCGGGUAACGAAUCUGCAGUAACGAAUCUGCAGCUCGCUGGGUUCGCGUCCUCUGGUGUGCGGCAGAGGGAGUGGAGGAUCCGCGAGCUGUUGGGGCUAAAACAAGUUGCAUCUCUUCUCUCGGGCCUGAGAACAUUAAUUAAGUGCCUGGUUGCAGGGAUGAAAGCUGAGCCUACGGACGCUGAUGGUCAAGAAGCGUAAUUGUGGUGAAGACACCAAGAAGUGUAAUUGUGGCGAAGAUACCUGCCCAGAGACAUGUCCCAAGGGCGACGGGCGUCUUGAAAGACCCUCGAGGAAGUGACAUAUCUUCCGGUGUGGCUGGGCCAUGACUAAUGACUGGAGAGCAGAGGAGGCGACUCAAGAGGAUUCUGGAGAGAACACCAGUGUUGAAAGGACCUUAGAGAUGUAAUGUGAGCUCAUCAUCUUAUAAAUGAGGAAAUUGAGGCCCCGGGAGAAGGGAGCAUCUAACCAGUGAGAGCGUAGUGAAUCUUGUUCCAUCUUCAGCCCAGAAGUCGUGGGAGUCCUGGCUGCUGGCGGUUCCUCUGAUUCCUGCUCUGUCUGCGCAAUCCUCAGAUCCUAAUAGGGAAGUCCAACUCUGGCUUCCCAGGUGGGCUUCUCACUGGCCAUGCCACCUGCUCUGAGAAUCUAGGUAGGCCGUAUUCCUCCCUGUGGGAAACUAUAGUCAGCUCUGUCUUGUCCCCUUGCAACCCAAAUGUUACCAGCCUGGAAACACAAAUUAUGUUAGCACAAGCCGCCACUUGCUUGGCUGACAGCAUUUGCCUCCUUAAAAUAUUUCCCAGUGAUUUCUGGGAUUGCCAAGGCUUGUGUAGGUGCUCCCAGAGCCAGUCCAUCAGCUGCAGUGUCUACAUGGCCUCGUCCCUCCUCUCUUCUGGCUUCCCCCGGAUGGAGUCCACUGCCUGGGAAGCCGCCUCUGAAGCCUCCUGCAUGCCCAUCAUGAGGACAUUGUUGGCUUUCCAUGCCAAAGGAGGUCUCUGUGGAUGCUCUCAAAACUUCCAAUUUCUCAUGGACAGAGCAUUGCUGGGUUAUAUGGUGGCCCAGAGAAGGUCCCCCCUUCACAGCCCCUUGCCCCAUUGUCACUGGGCUCUUGUGAACAGUGUCAUGAGCCCCUCACCCAAAAUAUCCAUCACCCCUUACCCAAAAUAUCACCAGGAUGCUCAUGAGUUAUGGUCCCAUCAGUUCCUGGCCUUUACUUCCCCAACCAUAAGAGCUCAGACUUACUCCAAGAAUAGAUGGGAGGCAGAUGCCAUCCAUUCCUUCCACCCGCCUCUGUUCUCCUAUUUGACUUUGCCCCUCAAUCCGCACUCCUCCCUCCA
ensembl:lncRNA